GUGCUCGCUUCGGCAGCACGUGUGCCAACAUUGGAACAAUACAGAGAAGAUUAGCAUGGCCCCUGCGCAGGGGUGACAUGCAAAUUUGUGAAGUGUUCCAUAUUAAA